GGGCAUGUGGCGAAGUGGACAUCGCAUCCGUCUCCGGAACGGAAGAUCCCAGGUUCGACCCCUGGCUUGCUCG